AGAGUUUGAUCCUGGCUCAGAAUCAACGCUGGCGGCGCGCUUAACACAUGCAAGUCGCACGAGAAAGUGGAGCAAUCCAUGAGUAAAGUGGCGUACGGGUGAGUAACACGUGGAUCAUCUACCUCUUAGUGGGGAAUAACCCUGGGAAACCGGGGCUAAUACCGCAUAAGCCUGAGAAGGGAAAGCAGCAAUGCGCUGAG
rnacentral:rRNA from 1 species